AAUCAACGCUGGCGGCGUGCCUAACACAUGCAAGUCGAACGAGAAAGUGGAGCAAUCCAUGAGUAAAGUGGCGCACGGGUGAGUAACACGUGACUAACCUACCCUUGAGUGGGGGAUAACCUAGGGAAACCUGGGCUAAUACCGCAUAAUACCUACGGGUCAAAGGAGCAAUUCGCUUUAGGAGGGGGUCGCGGCAGAUUAGUUAGUUGGCGGGGUAAUGGCCCACCAAGACGAUGAUCNGUAUCCGGCCUGAGAGGGCGCACGGACACACUGGAACUGAAACACGGUCCAGACUCCUACGGGAGGCAGCAGUGGGGAAUUUUGCGCAAUGGGGGAAACCCUGACGCAGCAACGCCGCGUGGAGGAUGAAGACCCUUGGGCCGUAAACUCCUUUCGAUCGGGACGAUAAU
rnacentral:rRNA from 1 species